GCCCUUAUAGCUCAGUCGGUAGAGCAGUUGCCUCUUAAGCAAACGGUCGCAGGUUCAAAUCCUGCUGGGGGCACAA
rnacentral:tRNA from 1 species